GUGAGUGUAGCUCAAUUGGUUAGAGUAUCGGAUUGUGGUUCCGAGGGUUGCGGGUUCAAUUCCCGUCACUCACCCCA
rnacentral:tRNA from 1 species